AGUGCUAAUACCGGAUAACAACAGAUGAUGCCUAUCAACUGUUUAAAAGAUGGUUCUGCUAUCACUCUUGGAUGGACCUGCGGUGCAUUAGCUAGUUGGUAGGGUAACGGCCUACCAAGGCGAUGAUGCAUAGCCGAGUUGAGAGACUGAUCGGCCACAUUGGGACUGAGACACGGCCCAAACUCCUACGGGAGGCAGCAGAC
rnacentral:rRNA from 1 species